UCAGGAUGAACGCUAGCUACAGGCUUAACACAUGCAAGUCGAGGGGCAUCGAUGGAGUUGCUUGCAAACUCUGAUGGCGACCGGCGCACGGGUGAGUAACGCGUAUCCAACCUUCCCUAUAGUAGAGGAUAGCCCGGCGAAAGUCGGAUUAAUACUCUAUGUUUUCCGUUGCAGACAUCUAAGAUGGAACAAAGGCUUGCCGCUAUAGGAUGGGGAUGCGUCUGAUUAGGUAGUCGGCGGGGUAACGGCCCACCGAGCCAUCGAUCAGUAGGGGUUCUGAGAGGAAGGUCCCCCCACAUUGGAACUGAGACACGGUCCAAACUCCUACGGGAGGCAGCAGUGAGGAAUAUUGGUCAAUGGGCGAGAGCCUGAACCAGCCAAGUAGCGUGCAGGACGACGGCCCUAUGGGUUGUAAACUGCUUUUAUGCGGGGAUAAAGUUCACUACGUGUAGUGUUUUGUAGGUACCGCAUGAAUAAGGACCGGCUAAUUCCGUGCCAGCAGCUGC
rnacentral:rRNA from 1 species